CAGCACGUCCCGACGUAAGUCGGGAUGGUGGCGACCGGCGCACGGGUGAGUAACACGUAUGCAACCUACCCUGUACAGGGGGAUAACCCGGAGAAAUUCGGACUAAUAUCCCAUAAAGAUAUUGAGAGGCAUCUUUUAAUAUUUAAAGCUCAGGCGGUACGGGCUGGGCAUGCGGAACAUUAGCUAGUUGGCAGGGUAACGGCCUACCAAGGCAGCGAUGUUUAGGGGACCUGAGAGGGUGAUCCCCCACACUGGUACUGAGACACGGACCAGACUCCUACGGGAGGCAGCAGUGAGGAAUAUUGGUCAAUGGGCGCAAGCCUGAACCAGCCAUCCCGCGUGAAGGAAGAAGGCGCUAUGCGUUGUAAACUUCUUUUCCAGGGGGUGAAUUUUCCGGUCGUGACCGGGAUUGACGGUACCCUGGGAAUAAGCAUCGGCUAACUCCGUGCCAGCAGCCGCGGUAAUACGGAGGAUGCAAGCGUUAUCCGGAUUUAUUGGGUUUAAAGGGUGCGUAGGCGGAUCAAUAAGUCAGUGGUGAAAACCUGCAGCUUAACUGUAGAUGUGCCGUUGAUACUGUUGGUCUUGAGUAUGGUCAAGGUAGGCGGAAUGUGUAAUGUAGCGGUGAAAUGCUUAGAUAUUACACAGAACACCGAUUGCGAAGGCAGCUUGCUGGGCCAUUACUGACGCUGAUGCACGAAAGCGUGGGGAUCGAACAGGAUUAGAUA
rnacentral:rRNA from 1 species